GAAAUGCGAUAAGUAGUGUGAAUUGCAGAAUUCAGUGAAUCAUCGAAUCUUUGAACGCACAUUGCGCCCUUUGGUAUUCCUUAGGGCAUGCCUGUUCGAGCGUCAUUUAAACCUUCAAGCUCAGCUUGGUGAUGGGUGACUGUCCCCCCUCGCGGGGGGACUCGCCUCAAAAACAUUGGCGGCCGGUACAUUGGCUUCGAGCGCAGCAGAAACGCGGUCUCGAGCCCGGUGGAUCGGCUCCCACAAGCCUAUUCUUUUAUUUUGACCUCGGAUCAGGUAGGGAUACCCGCUGAACUUAAGC
rnacentral:misc_RNA from 1 species